AAUCAGUGAAAUGAAAUGACAGAUGCGACGAACAAGAAAAGAAACGACGAAGCAACCUGAGCUUUAGCCCUUCUCGAUUUCAGUUCGCUCGUUCUUCUUUUGACGGAUUUGAGCAUGAGCAUGAGCAUGAGCAUAGAUGACCGUACAAUUCGUAGUUGCUACUCCGUGAUUGACCAGAACAAUCGAAAUUGCACAAGGAACCAACAAACGGAGCUUGGGAUUAACUACCGCUCUCAAUGUGCACAGUUCGAGAAUUCCAGACUUUAUUAGUCAAUAACGGCGCCGGCCACGUCCUUACGGUCAUCGAGGAAGGAAAGGAAUGUUAGUGUGACGUACAUUGCUACUAGAGACCGAGAUCACCUCAUUUUCUCCACGACUGUCACGGGAAGGAGUUUUUGUUAGUGAGGAGGGGGAGAGUCACAUGAUUUGGAUUCACUUUGAUGUCGACACCGAAGAUGACGAACCAUUCAAAUUCUUGUGUAAAUGCAAAAAAUGAAAGAAAGAUAUUUAUUAUCAACUGAAUGUGCAUUGGAAACUAGCGCCGACACAUGACGUGACGAACUUUUCAAUAUUUGUUAGAUAAAUACACAAAAACCAGAGCAGAAUUUUAUACAUCCUUUAGCAGUAAUUAUUAUGAUAAAAUGGAACGAGCUCACCAAUAAACAUCCUUCGAAGUGU